GUCCACGCCCUAAACGAUGCGAACUGGAUGUUGGGUGCAACUAGGCACUCAGUAUCGAAGCUAACGCGUUAAGUUCGCCGCCUGGGGAGUACGGUCGCAAGACUGAAACUCAAAGGAAUUGACGGGGGCCCGCACAAGCGGUGGAGUAUGUGGUUUAAUUCGAUGCAACGCGAAGAACCUUACCUGGUCUUGACAUCCACGGAACUUUCCAGAGAUGGAUUGGUGCCUUCGGGAACCGUGAGACAGGUGCUGCAUGGCUGUCGU
rnacentral:rRNA from 1 species